UUAAAAAUGGCGGAAAAAGCUAAUCCAUCAAAAAUGCCCUGGCUGGAGUUGGGCUAUCUUCUCACUCAUAAGUUUAUUUCUUCUACUGAGUCAUGAGCUUACCUUAUCUUCUUCUUGUUCCAUGAUGGUGUGUACGACUGAGACACUCUCUUGAUCCUAAUGCAUAUAAGGACGAAAGCGGUUUUAAAGAAACAAAUCCUCUUAUUUAUGGAGAAGUGCAACAGGGAACGACAUUUCGGAUACGAUGAG